GCGAACGGACGAGAAGCUUGCUUCUCUGAUGUUAGCGGCGGACGGGUGAGUAACACGUGGAUAACCUACCUAUAAGACUGGGAUAACUUCGGGAAACCGGAGCUAAUACCGGAUAAUAUUUUGAACCGCAUGGUUCAAAAGUGAAAGACGGUCUUGCUGUCACUUAUAGAUGGAUCCGCGCUGCAUUAGCUAGUUGGUAAGGUAACGGCUUACCAAGGCAACGAUGCAUAGCCGACCUGAGAGGGUGAUCGGCCACACUGGAACUGAGACACGGUCCAGACUCCUACGGGAGGCAGCAGUAGGGAAUCUUCCGCAAUGGGCGAAAGCCUGACGGAGCAACGCCGCGUGAGUGAUGAAGGUCUUCGGAUCGUAAAACUCUGUUAUUAGGGAAGAACAUAUGUGUAAGUAACUGUGCACAUCUUGACGGUACCUAAUCAGAAAGCCACGGCUAACUACGUGCCAGCAGCCGCGGUAAUACGUAGGUGGCAAGCGUUAUCCGGAAUUAUUGGGCGUAAAGCGCGCGUAGGCGGUUUUUUAAGUCUGAUGUGAAAGCCCACGGCUCAACCGUGGAGGGUCAUUGGAAACUGGAAAACUUGAGUGCAGAAGAGGAAAGUGGAAUUCCAUGUGUAGCGGUGAAAUGCGCAGAGAUAUGGAGGAACACCAGUGGCGAAGGCGACUUUCUGGUCUGUAACUGACGCUGAUGUGCGAAAGCGUGGGGAUCAAACAGGAUUAGAUACCCUGGUAGUCCACGCCGUAAACGAUGAGUGCUAAGUGUUAGGGGGUUUCCGCCCCUUAGUGCUGCAGCUAACGCAUUAAGCACUCCGCCUGGGGAGUACGACCGCAAGGUUGAAACUCAAAGGAAUUGACGGGGACCCGCACAAGCGGUGGAGCAUGUGGUUUAAUUCGAAGCAACGCGAAGAACCUUACCAAAUCUUGACAUCCUUUGACAACUCUAGAGAUAGAGCUUUCCCCUUCGGGGGACAAAGUGACAGGUGGUGCAUGGUUGUCGUCAGCUCGUGUCGUGAGAUGUUGGGUUAAGUCCCGCAACGAGCGCAACCCUUAAGCUUAGUUGCCAUCAUUAAGUUGGGCACUCUAAGUUGACUGCCGGUGACAAACCGGAGGAAGGUGGGGAUGACGUCAAAUCAUCAUGCCCCUUAUGAUUUGGGCUACACACGUGCUACAAUGGACAAUACAAAGGGCAGCGAAACCGCGAGGUCAAGCAAAUCCCAUAAAGUUGUUCUCAGUUCGGAUUGUAGUCUGCAACUCGACUACAUGAAGCUGGAAUCGCUAGUAAUCGUAGAUCAGCAUGCUACGGUGAAUACGUUCCCGGGUCUUGUACACACCGCCCGUCACACCACGAGAGUUUGUA
rnacentral:rRNA from 1 species